GACGAACGCUGGCGGCGUGCUUAACACAUGCAAGUCGAACGGAAAGGCCCUGCUUUUGUGGGGUGCUCGAGUGGCGAACGGGUGGGUAACACGUGAGUAACCUGCCCUUGACUUUGGGAUAACUUCAGGAAACUGGGGCUAAUACCGGAUAGGAGCUCCUGCUGCAUGGUGGGGGUUGGAAAGUUUCGGCGGUUGGGGAUGGACUCGCGGCUUAUCAGCUUGUUGGUGGGGUAGUGGCUUACCAAGGCUUUGACGGGUAGCCGGCCUGAGAGGGUGACCGGCCACAUUGGGACUGAGAUACGGCCCAGACUCCUACGGGAGGCAGCAGUGGGGAAUAUUGCACAAUGGGCGGAAGCCUGAUGCAGCAACGCCGCGCGCGGGAUGACGGCCUUCGGGUUGUAAACCGCUUUCGCCUGUGACGAAGCGUGAGUGACGGUAAUGGGUAAAGAAGCACCGGCUAACUACGUG
rnacentral:rRNA from 1 species